rnacentral:rRNA from 1 species
AACGAACGCUGGCGGCAUGCCUAACACAUGCAAGUCGAACGAGACCUUCGGGUCUAGUGGCGCACGGGUGCGUAACGCGUGGGAACCUGCCCUUAGGUUCGGAAUAACUCCCCGAAAGGGGUGCUAAUACCGGAUAAUGUCUUCGGACCAAAGAUUUAUCGCCUUUGGAUGGGCCCGCGUUGGAUUAGCUAGUUGGUAGGGUAAAAGCCUACCAAGGCGACGAUCCAUAGCUGGUCUGAGAGGAUGAUCAGCCACACUGGGACUGAGACACGGCCCAGACUCCUACGGGAGGCAUCAGUGGGGAAUAUUGGACAAUGGGCGAAAGCCUGAUCCAGCAAUGCCGCGUGAGUGAUGAAGGCCUUAGGGUUGUAAAGCUCUUUUACCCGGGAUGAUAAUGGCAGUACCGGGAGAAUAAGCUCCGGCUAACUCCGUG